GCCCCGCUCUACACACAGGGUUCUGCCUUCUGUGCCCCUAAGCUCCUCCUUCAGUCUCAUGACUUCACACUGAGGUCCUGCCUCCCAGCAUGUCCGUGCACUGGCUGUAGACUCCACACCCUUCAGUAUGGCAACACAACUACUUAAUCCUUAGAGGAUGUGCAGCCAAUCAAGGUGACUAGAGGCCUGCCAGGAGAGUUUACUAAAAGAUUUCAUUUCUCGGGUAUUCAGACAUUUCAAGGUUGAACCUCUGUGGCCAUGUUCCCCUACAUCUGGAAUCUUGGAAGCAUCAUCCCGACUGCCCUUGCUACAUCGCCUCACCAGAUCUUCAACUAUACUUGGGUGAUUCUUAAUGGCGCUGGAGAUGUGGUGUCUGCCAACUCCACCACUGCUGCACGAGUUCGCUGGCCCAAACUUGAGGUAGAUCUUUGCAAAUUAGUGCUAGGAGCUUACCUUGAUUGGAGCACAUGACAUCUUUGCCCCCCCCUGCCCUGAGCUGGCAGACCCCAGUACUGACCCGGGUUGCAGUAAUACACUCAGAAGAGCCACAUUGGCCCUUCAAAUUGGGGGGAUUUAUUUAUGCCCUGCUGACCACAGAGAUCAUACAAAGGCCAGAGGCUGUGGGUAUGAAACUGAUUUCUACUGUGCCUCCUGGGGCUGUGAGACCACUGGAGACACGUACUGGAAACCCAGCUCUUCCUGGGAUUACAUCACAGCUAAAAGAAAAUUCUCCAAUGCCUGGGUCACCAGUCUGGGCCGACAGCCCCUCAAUAACAUAUGCCCUACUGACUCGGACCUGAAUGGGUGGUGUAAUCCUAUCCAGAUCUCUUUUACAGAAACAGGGAAAAGGAUAAACUGGGAAUAGUGAGGUUUCAAGUGGGGACUUCACUUAUAUAAACAAUAUAGAGACUUUGGCCUCACCCUAAAAAUUAAAUUUCAAAAAACCCGGCCACAACCACCACCAGUGGCCAUAGGGACCAAUACACCUGCACCCAAGGUUGGGUCACAUUCGAGAGAUUCUGUACAGGUUACACAUCAACCCAACAAUUCAUCAUUUCCCUUUAUCAACCCACAUUCCCUGAUGGGCCCCCCUGUACUGUCAAUAUGCUCAUAGAAAUGCUUAAUAGCUCCUUACCAGCCCUCGCCAAUAUUAAUUCUACUAUAGCCCUAGAUUAUUGCUAGAUCUGUUAUCACUCCUCCCCUCCCUUUUACGAGGGACUAGCAACCUUUGGAAACCUCACCUUUACUAAUGAGACCCAUUCCCUACACCAGUCAGCAAACUCUGAACCAAAAAUAAUGCUCUCACAGGUCGCUGGAAUUGGCCUCUGUCUAUUAGGACCCCAUGUGAUUCGGCCCUCCCCCCUGACACUUACUUGCAAUGAGAUAGUGGUGGUUACCACGAAGACCAACUCCAUUGCUGGCCCUAAGGGCACUCAUUUUGCCUGCUCAGCAGGCUUAACACCUUUUGUGGUAACAUCUACCUUUUUGACAGAAAAAGAUUAUUGUGUCCUUGUCCUCCUUUUUCACGAUUAACUAUUCAUGACUCCUCUAAGUUCCUGCAGUUCUGGGAAAGAGGCACCUCCACGCGUACGAAGAGAGAACCCAUCACCACCGUGACUCUGGCAGUACUCCUAGGUCUGUCAGCUGUGGGGACAGGAACCAGGGUUGCCUCCCUGAUCACCUCCCAACAAAAUUAUCAUCAGCUCAGUGCCACCAUAGACAGGGGUAUCAGUGAGCUUCAACAAGGAAUAACCUCUCUUAAAGAUUCAGUCGCUUUCUUGGCUGAGGUUGUUCUACAAAAUAGAAAGGGAUUAGAUCUUCUCUUUCUUCAACAGGGAGGGCUCUGUGUGGCCCUCAAGGAGGAGUGUUGCUUUUAUGCUGAUAAGACGGGAUUAGUAGAAAACAGCCUACAAAAGGUUAGAGAAAGUCUACAAAAGAGACAAAGAGAAAGAGAAGAGAGUGAAGCCUGGUAUAAAAACUGGUUUUCUGCCUCUCUCCUGCUCACCACUCUUCUACCCAGUAUCCUGGGUCCCUUUAUAGGACUCCUGCUGCUCGUCUCCUUUGGCUCAUGGGUGCUUAGAAAGUUAACUGAUUUUAUCAAGGCCCAGGUGGAUUCAGCUACCAAGCAGGUGUCGGUCCAUUACCACUGCCUCCGUUGAGAGGAGGCUGAGACAACCGGGGAGUGUGAUACUCCCCUUGGGUCGCCCACGGCUGGCCUCGACUUCUCCACCCUAAAUACAGCCUAUAACUCAGGCUGGAAAAUCAGUUGCUGGUGGAAGUGUCAAUGAUGGGAAUAUUAUGGUGCCACAUACCAGGCACACACCUCACCGCUGUGAAGUGACCCUAUGAUGGGAUUAGCACAGGUCCAUGAUCUGUGUCGCCCACUCCCACAAAACACACACGUAUAGCCCAGAAUGGUGUAUUUAGGCAUAAGAUCGUUCCUAGCCAUUGGGGUGCAGUUCUAACUGCAAGAGUGGCUCACCAUAGCCGAGCUGGGCACUCUGUAAGGCAUGUCUGAUCUAUCUCAGAUCACUACUUCCCCCCUGGUGGAAAUAAUGGAACUUAAGUGAGAGUGCCGGACAUGGGGGCAACCUGUGUAGCCUAAGACACGGGGUUUCACUGACCAGGUGCUGGAUGCACAUACCCCAGACCUUCCUCCCACUGAUAGUUUAAGAAAGGCGGAGAUGUCCGGGACCAGACUGCUGGACUAGGCAAAGCUAGAGCCCUGCCCUGGGCAGAUUCCUGAGAAGGGCUUGAACAGGUUCCCGGAAGACUGUUGCCUCAUUAUCUAAGAAGACUAUCUUGCAGUUUAGAGAUUCACCUUA
rnacentral:sRNA from 1 species